rnacentral:rRNA from 1 species
AAUCCUACGGGGGGCAGCAGUGGGGGAUAUUGCACAAUGGGGGGAACCCUGAUGCAGCGACGCCGCGUGGGUGAAGGAGCGUUUCGGCGCGUAAAGCCCUAUCGGCAGGGAAGAAGAUGACGGUACCUGACCAAGAAGCCACGGCUAACUACGUGCCAGCAGCCGCGGUAAUACGUAGGUGGCAAGCGUUGUUCGGAAUAACUGGGCGUAAAGGAUGCGUAGGCGGUUAAACAAGUUAUAUGUUAAA